rnacentral:rRNA from 1 species
CUUACACAUGCAGUCGAGCGGUAACAGGGGGUGCUUGCACCCCGCUGACGAGCGGCGGACGGGUGAGUAAUGCAUAGGAAUCUGCCCAGUAGUGGGGGAUAGCCCGGGGAAACCCGGAUUAAUACCGCAUACGCCCUUUGGGGGAAAGCAGGGGAUCUUCGGACCUUGCGCUAUUGGAUGAGCCUAUGUCGGAUUAGCUAGUUGGUGGGGUAAAGGCCUACCAAGGCGACGAUCCGUAGCUGGUCUGAGAGGAUGAUCAGCCACAUCGGGACUGAGACACGGCCCGAACUCCUACGGGAGGCAGCAGUGGGGAAUAUUGGACAAUGGGGGCAACCCUGAUCCAGCCAUGCCGCGUGUGUGAAGAAGGCUUUCGGGUUGUAAAGCACUUUCAGUGAGGAGGAAAACCUUCUGGUUAAUACCCAUGAGGCUUGACGUUACUCACAGAAGAAGCACCGGCUAACUCCGUGCCAGCAGCCGCGGUAAUACGGAGGGUGCAAGCGUUAAUCGGAAUUACUGGGCGUAAAGCGCGCGUAGGUGGUUUGAUAAGCGAGAUGUGAAAGCCCCGGGCUUAACCUGGGAACGGCAUUUCGAACUGUCAGGCUAGAGUGUG